rnacentral:rRNA from 1 species
UACGUAGGGUGCGAGCGUUAAUCGGAAUUACUGGGCGUAAAGCGCGCGCAGGCGGUUCUUUAAGUCUGAUGUGAAAGCCCCGGGCUCAACCUGGGAAUGGCAGUGGAAACUAGGGGACUUGAAUCUGGCAGAGGGGGGUGGAAUUCCACGUGUAGCAGUGAAAUGCGUAGAUAUCAGGAGGAACACCGGUGGCGAAGGCGGCUUCCUGGACAAUAACUGACGCUGAGGCGCGAAAGCUAGGGGAGCAAACAGG